CAGGUCCCCGGCCGAAGCCUCCGGCUCGAGGGCGCGCCCCCGGCCCAAGCCCCCGCCGUCGCCGCCGCCAGGGGCGGCCUGCUGCUCACCUGGCCGCCGGCUCCUCCCUCGCCUGCCCGGCCCGGCCGCCGCCUAGGAGCAAGCGCGGGCCGCGGGAAGUCCGCUGAGGAGGGGGAGGGGGCGGGAUGCCGGGAGCCGCCUCCUUUCUCCUCGCCGCCGGCUCCCGCAGCCAGGCCGCGCUUCCUCACCCACUCGCCCACUUUCUCACGGCCUCGCGGUCGGCCGGCCUCUCCCUUUCCCCCCCUCCCCCCCACGCCCGCACUCCCGUUCCUACACACUCGCUCACGCCCGGCCGCCGCUCGCUCCCUCACUCGCCUGUCGCCCGACCGCGCGCGCGCGCGAUCCCGCUCACACCACACACACAGCGCACGACGCCGGCGAGGCCGCCCCGCGUCCCCCAGACCGAGGCGCCGCGCGCCCCCCGCCCGAGCCGAGGACCCGCGCGGCCCCGCCCCCAAGCGCCGCACGCGCGGGCGGGGGGCGGCGGGGGGCGGGGCGGGGCGGCGAGGCGAGCGCGCUCGACCGACUGACACCUGCGAGGGGACCUCCCCGCUGCCGGAGGGGAGCCACGGGGCGCGCGCUCGCGAGGGGAGGCACGCGGGCGCUCCAAGGACGCGCCUAGCCACCCGCCCCCAAACCGUCCUCUCGGAGCCAGGAAAACGGGUCGGGGGCGAGGUUUGUUCCGCUCCGCACCGCGAGAGUAGGCCCUGCCGUUGUGCGCCCUCCCGCCAGCGCAGCCCCUCCUUGGGCUGCGGCCGGCCGUGACCGCUUUGAUGACCGCCGACACCCCCACGCGAGAUCUGGCCAGGGGACUCGCGCCGCCCGCAGUGGGGCUAGCGGCCCUCCCUCCCUGGCGUCCUGGCUCACCAGAAGGCAGAGAUUUGGGGACAAAGAUGAUGGUAACUAAUAGUCCCGAUCCGCGAACGCACCGAAGACAAUGCCUCUCUGUAUGGAAAGGCGCGUUAACUGCUCCUUGGCUGAGCUUGGUACGCUAAGGGAGGCUGAGGCAGGAGGAUCACAGGCGACCCUGCGCCACAAAAGAAAAUAAGCGACAUAAUAAAUUCUAUGGGUUGGGCAGGUUCAAAGAGAGACAAGGAAGCCAGAGCCAGCCGGGCGAGUUGAUGUCAGAAUAAACAUCGUAUUUAGGAGCAUUUCCUACAUCCUGAAACCUAAUAAAUCGUCCAAAGAAGAGGCUAAAUAAACGUUUGACCACACUCCACUACCGGUCAGCAGUUCACACAGACCCAUGAUCGGAAAG
ensembl:lncRNA